rnacentral:misc_RNA from 1 species
GAAAGAUCUUCUUCGGAUAAUCAAUGCAGCGCUCAAUGACGAGCUCUUCUUCAGCAUGGCAAACCACACAUUAACAGUUGUUGAAGUUGAUGCUGUUUAUGUGAAACCUUUUGAAGCUGAGACCAUUCUGAUUACUCCUGGACAAACUACAUAUGUUCUUUUAAAAACCAAGUCUCAAUAUCCAAAUGCCUCAUUUUUUUCAUGACUGCUAGACCCUAUGUAACUGGCCUAGGCACUUUUGACAGCACAUCUGUCGCUGGGAUUUUAG